rnacentral:rRNA from 1 species
CCUACGGGAUGCUGCAUUGGGGAAUAUUGCACAAUGGGGGAAACCCUGAUGCAGCGACGCCGCGUGAGUGAAGAAGUAAUUCGUUAUGUAAAGCUCUACAAGCAGGGAAGAAAAUGACGGUACCUGAGUAAGAAGCCCCGGCUAACUACGUGCCAGCAGCCGCGGUAAUACGUAGGGGACAAGCGUUAUCCGGAUUUACUGGGUGUAAAGGGAGCGUAGACGGAAGUGCAAGUCUGGAGUGAAAGGCGGGGGCUCAACCCCCGGACUGCUCUGGAAACUGUACGGCUGGAGUGCAGGAGAGGUAAGUGGAAUUCCUAGGGUAGCUGUGAAAUGCGUAGAUAUCAGGAGGAACACCGGUGGCGAAGGCGGCCUGCUGGACUGCGACUGACGUUGAGGCCCGAAAGCGUGGGGAGCAAACAGGAUUAGAUACCCCAGUAGUC